AACGAACGCUGGCGGCAUGCCUAACACAUGCAAGUCGAACGAGACCUUCGGGUCUAGUGGCGCACGGGUGCGUAACGCGUGGGAACCUGCCCUUAGGUUCGGAAUAACUCCCCGAAAGGGGUGCUAAUACCGGAUAAUGUCUUCGGACCAAAGAUUUAUCGCCUUUGGAUGGGCCCGCGUUGGAUUAGCUAGUUGGUGGGGUAAAGGCCUACCAAGGCGACGAUCCAUAGCUGGUCUUAGAGGAUGAUCAGCCACACUGGGACUGAGACACGGCCCAGACUCCUACGGGAGGCAGCAGUGGGGAAUAUUGGACAAUGGGCGAAAGCCUGAUCCAGCAAUGCCGCGUGAGUGAUGAAGGCCCUAGGGUUGUAAAGCUCUUUUACCAGGGAUGAUAAUGACAGUACCUGGAGAAUAAGCUCCGGCUAACUACGUGCCAGCAGCCGCUGUAA
rnacentral:rRNA from 1 species